rnacentral:rRNA from 1 species
UUCUAUGGCCAUACCACCUUGAAUGCGCCCGAUCUCGUCUGAUCUUAGAACCUAGGCAGGGCCAGGCCUGGUUAGUAUUUGGAUGGGAGAAAACAGCAUGCCUUAUGGC